AAUCCAUUUUUCCAAGUCUCACCUCACAUAAACUCAACGUGAAUUGAAUAUCCAUGAACCGAGUACCUUCUUUGCUUUGUGUCAAUGACACUAAACCUUCAAUUACUGGAUCUUGUUCUAGCUCUAUGGAGAUCAUAAUAGUAUAUGAAUGC